CCACCGCGGUUAGACGAUAGGCCCUAGUUGAUUAUACCUACGGCGUAAAGGGUGGUUAAGGAUAUAUAUUAAUAAAGCCAAAUGGCCCUUUGGCCGUCAUACGCUUCUAGGUGUCUGAGGCCCCAUACGAAAGUAGCUUUAAUAAAUUUUCCUGACCCCACGAAAACUGAGAAACAAACUGGGAUUAGAUACCCCACUAUGCUCAGCCGUAAACUUAGACAUUCACCUACGAUUAAAUGUCCGCCAGGGUACUACGAGCAUUAGCUUAAAACCCAAAGGACCUGACGGUGUCUCAGACCCCCCUAGAGGAGCCUGUUCUAGAACCGAUAACCCCCGUUAAACCUCACCACUCCUAGUCACCCCAGCCUAUAUACCGCCGUCGUCAGCUUACCCCGUGAGGGCAAUAGAAGUAAGCAAAAUGGGCACAACCCAGAACGUCAGGUCGAGGUGUAGCGUAUGAAGUGGAAAGAAAUGGGCUACAUUUUCUAUUACAGAACAUUACGAACAUGCACUAUGAAAUUUAAUGCUUGAAGGAGGAUUUAGUAGUAAAAAGGAAACAGAGUGUCCCUUUGAACCUGGCUCUGAAACGCGUACAUACCGCCCGUCACUCUCCCCUGUCAAAACGCACCAAACAUUCAUAAUUAACUAGCAAUGACAAGGGGAGGCAAGUCGUAACACG
rnacentral:rRNA from 1 species